AUUGAACGCUGGCGGCAGGCCUAACACAUGCAAGUCGAGCGGAUGAAGGGAGCUUGCUCCUGGAUUCAGCGGCGGACGGGUGAGUAAUGCCUAGGAAUCUGCCUGGUAGUGGGGGAUAACGUCCGGAAACGGGCGCUAAUACCGCAUACGUCCUGAGGGAGAAAGUGGGGGAUCUUCGGACCUCACGCUAUCAGAUGAGCCUAGGUCGGAUUAGCUAGUUGGUGGGGUAAAGGCCUACCAAGGCGACGAUCCGUAACUGGUCUGAGAGGAUGAUCAGUCACACUGGAACUGAGACACGGUCCAGACUCCUACGGGAGGCAGCAGUGGGGAAUAUUGGACAAUGGGCGAAAGCCUGAUCCAGCCAUGCCGCGUGCGUGAAGAAGGUCUCGGAUUGUAAAGCACUUUAAGUUGGGAGGAAGGGCAGUAAGUUAAUACCUUGCUGUUUUGACGUUACCAACAGAAUAAGCACCGGCUAACUUCGUG
rnacentral:rRNA from 1 species